rnacentral:rRNA from 1 species
UGUUUAUCAAAAACAUGGUCUUUUGUUUAUAUAAAAGGUCUGGCCUGCCCAAUGAAUUUUUAAUGGCUGCAGUAUUUUGACUGUACAAAGGUAGCAUAAUCAUUUGUCUUUUAAUUAAAGUCUGGAAUGAAUGGUUUGAUGAAAAAUUUACUUUCUUUAUUUUAGAAAAAUAAUUUGAUUUUUUGAUUAAAAAGUCAAGAUAAAAAUAUAGGACGAGAAGACCCUAUAGAACUUUAUUUCAAUGAAUAAAUAAUAUUUUGAUUAUUAAUUUUUAUUUUUUCUAAGGAAUUUUAUUGGGGUGAUAGAAAAAAUUUUAUAACUUUUUUUUAUUUUAUCAUUUAUAUAUGAUUUUUUUGAUCCUUUAUUAAGGAAAAAAGACUAAGUUACCUUAGGGAUAACAGCGUUAUUAUUUGGAGAGUUCAUAUCGAUAAAAUAGUUUGCGACCUCGAUGUUGGAUUAAAAUAAGUUUCAGGAGUAGAA